AAGUUUGUCCGGCAACGUGCAAAUACAAAGUCUGUAUAUUUAAUCGAACAUGUGAGUUCAGUACAUGUCAUUGCUAUAGAUGUUGAUUGAUGCAACUUCGGUGAAAGUAAUAAAAGAAGAAAUGUCGAGCUUACAUGCAUGGCUUUUACAAAUAUAUGGAAAUGAAUAUUUCUCAUUAUAUUAAAUUUGCAACGUAUGUGUCACGUAUUCGAUGGGGUGGUGUAUGUUUUAAAUUCUCAUUAAUAUGAUAAGCCAAAAAAGACCUUUGAUUGAUAUAGCUAGGUAAGAAAUGUGGAAGACUUUAAAACAAAAAGUUGGAAUUAAUAAGAUAACUCUUGUCCAGAUCAGGUAGUUGAGAACAACAGAAGCUAAUUAGCACAAAUGGGUGCUCUGAUCUCUGAUGAAUCGUAAAAUAGAGGUAUGCGUGUGUUUAGUAAUAGCUGUACGUCUGAAACUCAAAUCAGAAGUAGAGGUGGUGACUAACAAAACAAAAACGUGUACGCCCAUUUUUGAUAUUACGUGUAUAUAUUACAAAAAGAGAAGCCGAAACAUAUUUGACUAGAAGAUAUACCAUAUAACAAGAUCAACGAAGUUCUAAAUAAGAGAGAAAGAGAUAAAUCAAGAAUUUUUUUUUCUGUUAAAGAAGAGAAAUCAAGACUUAAAAGAAAGGAAGAAAGGAAGAAAGGAAACAAAAAUGAGCAAUGUUGCCUCUGUUGCCAUCAUAUCUUUAACUUGAAUUUUCGUUUUUAUCAAUUUAACGUACGUGUAGGAUUUGUGAACUAAUAUAAUUUAUUGUUUGACUAAUAGAAUGGACUGGGAUAUGUGUUGAAGCAUGAAAAUGACAACUAAUUAAAUAAGUUUGACUACAUAGAGGAGUUUGAAAUAUAUCCAAAAGAUUGUUUUACAAUGCCAAAACUAUAUAUUAGUACCUCUGUUUUAGUAUUAAUUUCAUUUAAAACAUACUUUUUUUUUUUAAACAUACUUACCUCUGUUCUAAAAUGUAUUUCUAUGAAUCGUUUUAAUUAUAAUUAAUUUAGAGAGUUUAAUUAUUUUAGUGUUGCGUAUAAAGUUUGACACUUUCACUGAAUUAAUUUCAAUUUUUAUAUAGUAUACAUAAAAUUUUCUCACUAUUUUUAUCUCUAUACAUUUAUUAGUUUUCAUCUUUGCUCGUUUUACAUAUUCUGAUUUUUAAUACUAAUUAGUUAAAAUCAUAUAUUUACGAUAAAUGCAUAUUGAUUUUAUUAAUAUCAAAUGAAGUAUAAUAGAUUAAAAUAUAUUUAUUGUUAGUAAUAGUAAUAUUCAUAUACUUUUGAUGCAAAUCUAAAACUUUAUUGUAAACAUAAUUUUAAAUGCUUCUUUUCUUUGAUUACUUUUCUAAUGUUAUUAUAAUUUAAACAUCAAUGUAUGCUCAUUAAUUAAACCUUUAAUAUUUUAAGAUAAAAGUUUUCGUUGAUAUAAUUAUUAUCUUACUGUUACCAAUUAAAUCUAUCAUAUUCUUGUAUUUACUAUUUUGAAAAUUAUUCAAUCCAGUUAACUUUUAAAAUUUAAAAUUACAUUUCUUAUUUAUCUUUACUCAAAUUAAUUAAUUUCGAAUUUAGGAUAAAUUUAAUUGUCAAUAUUAAGUAUACUAAAAACACACACAAAGUUUUUAGUAGUUAUUUUUGAAAACUUUAAAUCUAAUCAAAUUAACUUUUUCCAAAUGAUAUUUAAUAAAAAAAUAUUAAACUAAUUAAGAACAAUGAAUACUUUAGCGUGUAUAAAUACCAAAAGCCCAUCAUCACAAACCAAUAAAUCAUUUACAUCCGCUAGUUUAAAUUCAUUAGACAGAGUCAUUUUCAAACUUGGAGACAAAUAUGAACAAUUUUCGAAUAACCAUUGUUGCGUUCUUAGCCGUUCUUGUCUUCACCACAACUGGUAUUUAGUUUCAUUAUACAUCAGUGUUACGCUUAGAUUGUUGGCCGCUUUGACAAAAACAACGUUUUGAUUAAUUAACUAUUUUUUUAAUUUGUUUCGCAGUUACGAAUUCUUUGGAUGAACCUAAUAUGGACACUAUAUCCAAAUCCAGAGAAUACAAAUGUAAAAUUGACCUGGAUUGUUCAAACCACAUUGCAUGUAGGCAUUGUUCUUAUCGCAAUUGCAAAUGCGAUCAUGGAACCUGUAAAUGCAUGCCAUGACUCUUAACCCACAAGGCCACAAGCCAUUGAUCCAACUGCAUCUUCAACUCGUCUUAAUCUCUCCUAUAUAUGUACUCUUUUGUUUGUAAUGCAAAAGAAAAUAAAACAUAAUAUUUUCAGUUGAUAAACUACUAAUGAAAUAUUAUACGUCAACGAAAUUUAGUAUAUAAACUACAAAACGGCAAAAAUAGCUUUCUCGAAACCAACAAAGUUAAUUGGACAAACGACAAAAAAACUCACAAAAGCCAUAGAUAGAUUUUUCAUUAACCACGUAACCGACACUUUCUUCUUUUGGGAUAAAUCUAUUUUUUUUUAAAAGCCAUAGAUUCUUAGGACACCUUAUUUUAAUGAAUUAUCUAAAUUUAAUCGGACAUUACAAACGUAACAUAUACUUACAUAUGCGUUAUUUAAUGAAAACAUUGACAAAAGUAAAUCAUUUUAGGCAACGAAACUUUCUGGACCCCAGAAUGCUCUAUAUAUAUACCUAUUAUUGUAGUCUUCCAAUAUUAUUACAUCGCAAACUAAGCUAUAGUUAUUCAGACCUCAAAUUCUACAAACGAAAUCGGUUAAGAGCUAGGAGAAAAUGAGCAAUCUUCGCCUAACCAUUGCAGUGUUUUUGGCCGCUCUUGUCUUCACUGCGACUUAGCUUGUACUUAGUUUUUUCUUUUAAUCUCAAAUUGAAUUUCUUUAUUGUUUCUUAUACAAGAACUGUGUUUUGAAUAAACUUUUUUAUUGGCAGUUUCAAACUCUGUGGUGGAAGCCAAGGGGAAAGAGGCCACAAUCAAAUUUUCAUGCAAAAAGAAUUCGGACUGUUUUACAAACAUUGCUUGUUAUGCUUUGUACUGAUUACCGAUGUGAUAAAGGAUUAUGUAAAUGCCAUGGUUUUGGUGGAGAAAAGGAAAAUCCCACAGCUGCGCCAUUAACUGCUUAAUUUCUCCAUUUCUUUUUUAAAUUUAUCUUUUGUUUUCUUGUAAUGCAAAUGGAUAAUUAAAAAGAUUUCAGAUCAAAUUAUAUCCUAUUAAUUAUUUUAAAUCAUUAUAUUUUAUCUCAUCUCUGCUUGAUCCUUUUACAUAAAAAUAUAAUAAUCACAUCAUCCAUAUUUUUUUUCUGCAUUUGUACGUGUUAAAAACUGCCACUAGUGAUUAAAUCCGGAAGUUAAUUUCAGGCAAAGUUAAUUUAGUUUUUUCCACCAAUUUUUUAAUUAUUAAAUUGUGUUUGGUUAUAUGAAUAAUACUAGGAAAAAGUAUGAGAUAUUUUUGCCCUUAAUAAGUGUCUUUUUUAAAAAAACAGCUUAUUAAUUAAUGACAUUUAAUGUAAAUCUUAACACGUCCAUAACUAUUUACUUAAAAAUGUUCCUCAAUAAGUAGUAUUAGAUAUUAGCAGUCAACUUUUCACAAAAAAAAAAAAAAAAAAAGAUAUUAUUAGUCAACAAAAUAAAAGAUUUGUUUAGUCAAAAACAAAACUCCAUAUUAUUAGUCAACAAAAAUUAUGAUAUUUUCAUUUAUGUUUACUAUUAAUGUAUACAGAUUUAUAGUUCCAAACAUUAAAAAACAGAUAAAAACCACUCUCUACUUAACCAUCAUGCCCCUAUAUAUAUAUGUUUUGUUCUGUCUUUUGUGUAUACUAUACACUAAUUUCAUUACAAACCAAACUAAAAUAAUAUACAUCGUUCAUUUCAUAUUCAACAGAAGGAAUCGGUUUUAAAACUCAAAGAGAAAAAUGAACAACCUUCGCGUAAUUAUGUCAGUGUUAUUGGCCGUUCUUGUCUUCACAGCGACUGGUAAUUAGUUUCUUUACCUUUAACGCAAUGAUCGGCCGCUCUAAACAAUUAACAGUGUUUUAAUUGAAUUGUUCUCUUUCUUCUUCUCGCAGUUUCAGAGUCUGCAGAGGAAAUGGGGAAGGGUGAGGUCACAAUCUCACUUAGAUGCAAAACGAAAACAGAAUGCUUAAAGAACAUUGCCUGUGAAGCUUGUGUCGAUUGUCGAUGCGAUAAAGGAAUUUGUAAAUGCCAUGGUUUCACAGCAGAAACCAACAAUCCAACCGUUUAACUCAUAUUUCUCCUAAAUGUUUUCUUUCUUUUUUAAUAUAAAAUGUAAAAGAAAAUAAAUCGCAAAGUUCAAUUAAUACACCAAUGAAAACUAUUUAUCAUUAUCAAUCAUUUGUUAUAUGAUUAUAUAUGGAAUGACGACGUGUGUUAAGAUUGAGAUCUCAAAUUCCACCCACAAAAACUAUGGAAACAGAAAAAAAUUAAAAGCACACGAACCAAUGUGAGAUUUACGUCAUCUUUUCGUCUUUGCAUAAUAAUGUGAAGGAGAGAAAGAGAAUUGCAAUGGCCAUUAGCUUGUAAACUGGAUGAGAAGAAGCCAUUUUGUUUCUUUGUUUUGAUUUAGUGUGCAUUUAGUAAGGUUAUAGGGUUUCUUUAUAUAGAAGGAGUAGAUUGCAACAAAAGCAUCCUCAGUGAGUGGCGUAGACUUGGAAUUUCC
rnacentral:lncRNA from 1 species